rnacentral:rRNA from 1 species
AUACGGAGGGUGCAAGCGUUACUCGGAAUCACUGGGCGUAAAGGAUGCGUAGGCGGAUAAUCAAGUCAAAAGUGAAAUCCUACAGCUUAACUGUAGAACUGCUUUCGAAACUGGUUAUCUAGAAUAUGGAAGAGGCAGAUGGAAUUAGUGGUGUAGGGGUAAAAUCCGUAGAGAUCACUAGGAAUACCGAUUGCGAAGGCGAUCUGCUGGGACAUUGUUGACGCUGAGGCAUGAAAGCGUGGGGAGCAAACAGGAUUAGAUACCCUAGUAGUCC